AAAGAUUAAGCCAUGCAUGUCUAAGUCCAAGCUGUGUUCACACGGCGAGACCGCGGACGGCUCAUUAAAUCAGUCGUGGUCCAAAUGGGCCAGUGCUAAUCCUACUUGGAUAACUGUGGUAAUUCCAGAGCUAAUACAUGCAACUGAUAUCCUGAAGAUGCAGCGUUUGUGUUUGCUUGUCUUGCGCUUUCACUGUUCUGACGGAUGCUUUUAUUAGACCAAGCCGCUGAGGGCAUUGAAGUUCGCGCUUCCUUGUCUGACUCGUGUGAUGGUGACUCUGGAUAACCAAUUCUGACAAGCGCACGUACUCCUCUUCGAGCGAGACGGCGCUGCCACUUUCGAGUGUCUGCCUUAUCAGCUAUCAACCGUUCGUUAUGCGCGACCGAUGGCUUUGACGGGUAACGGGGAAUCAGGGUUCGAUUCCGGAGAGGCAGCCUGAGAGACGGCUACCACGUCCAAGGACGGCAGCAGGCACGCAAAUUACCCAAUCCCAGCAAAUGGGGGAGGUAGUGACGAAAUCUAACGAUGCGGGCGCCCUUUCUGGGGCCCCGCAAUCGGAAUGGGCACUU
rnacentral:rRNA from 1 species